UCUCCGUUGGUGAACCAGCGGAGGGAUCAUUACAGAGUUUUUAACUCCCAAACCCAUGUGAACUUACCAUUGUUGCCUCGGCGGAGCCUACCCUGUAGCUACCCUGUAGGGUGGUUACCCUGUAGCGCCCCGCCGGUGGAUGUUCAAACUCUUGUUAUUUUUAGUAAUCUGAGCGUCUUAUUUUAAAUAAGUCAAAACUUUCAACAACGGAUCUCUUGUUUCUGCCAUCAAUGAAGAAGGCAGC
rnacentral:misc_RNA from 1 species